UGCAGUGUGACUCCAUUUAAUGUUCUUGUGUGGUAAAGAAAGUCUCUCUUUUUGUGUGUGUUGUAUGUGUGAUGUAUAUUAAAUAUGACCGGGCCAAAACGGACAUGGCAGCAGGUCAAAAUCAAAUACAAGAACAUUCUGCAGAAUGCAGUGAAAAAGAAUACCCAGAGACAAGGCACGGGUGGUGGGUCACCAAAAGCUGACCUGACCCCAGCAGAGGCCAGCUUUGGAGCUAAAUAAAGGCAGGCCUGUUGGAGGGGAUCCCUGGGGGAAAAGAGACAAGCAUAGGUCCCUCCCAAGAUGCCACCCGCUUCAUACAAGUGUCUGGCAGCACUGUGUUACUAUUAAAGCCACCAGCACGAGCACCAGACGAUGCUGAUCCAGUGAGUACUCCAUCAAAGGCAUACUGUAGGCCUGGCAUGUCUUGUCUACUAGCUUCAAUAUGAAUCCGAUUAAAUGUGAUAGGGUUUAAGGCCCCAUUUCAUCAGCACAUAACGGCGAUGAUGAUGAGGAGACCAUCUCUCUGGAUUCCAAAAGGCAUAAGGACCCAGUGUCAUUGGUGCACUGGACUGCAUAUACAUAAGGAUAAAAGCCCCCUCAGAGGCAGAUUUUGUAAAUAUGAAAUCUUUUUACAGCAUUAAUGUUCAGGUGAACAUAACUUUUUUGAUCUUUUCCAUUGAACACUGGCAAAAUGGGCUGGCUCAGUCCAUGACUCCAGAAUCUUUCGGACCUCUGAAAUCUAUCAGUGCCUAUCACAAGGUGAAUUCUCUGGUGUAUUGCUGGGAGACAGGGGGUAUGGCUGCCAGACUUUCUUCCUGACACCUUUCACAGACCCCCAGGAAGCAAAACCACUUGUUUAAAAUCCCCCACCCUAAUAGAGCUAUCUGAGAGAGGUUUUUAUGAAGCUUCUAAGGCAUUACAGACCCAAACAAAUUUUUUUUUGUCUAUAUGUCACAUCACCGAACAAGGAUAAAUACCCCUUUCAAUCAUUCUAUGUCACCUUUAAAAAGUCUAAUA